CAGCAGCCGCGGUAAUACGGAGGGCGCGAGCGUUACCCGGAUUUACUGGGCGUAAAGGGCGUGUAGGCGGCCUGGGGCGUCCCAUGUGAAAGGCCACGGCUCAACCGUGGAGGAGCGUGGGAUACGCUCAGGCUAGAGGGUGGGAGAGGGUGGUGGAAUUCCCGGAGUAGCGGUGAAAUGCGCAGAUACCGGGAGGAACGCCGAUGGCGAAGGCAGCCACCUGGUCCACUUCUGACGCUGAGGCGCGAAAGCGUGGGGAGCAAACCGGAUUAGAUACCCGAGUAGUCCCUGUCUCUUAUAC
rnacentral:rRNA from 1 species